AACGAACGCUGGCGGCAGGCUUAACACAUGCAAGUCGAACGCCCCGCAAGGGGAGUGGCAGACGGGUGAGUAACGCGUGGGAACAUACCCUUUCCUGCGGAAUAGCUCCGGGAAACUGGAAUUAAUACCGCAUACGCCCUACGGGGGAAAGAUUUAUCGGGGAAGGAUUGGCCCGCGUUGGAUUAGCUAGUUGGUGGGGUAAAGGCCUACCAAGGCGACGAUCCAUAGCUGGUCUGAGAGGAUGAUCAGCCACAUUGGGACUGAGACACGGCCCAAACUCCUACGGGAGGCAGCAGUGGGGAAUAUUGGACAAUGGGCGCAAGCCUGAUCCAGCCAUGCCGCGUGAGUGAUGAAGGCCUUAGGGUUGUAAAGCUCUUUCACCGAUGAAGAUAAUGACGGUAGUCGGAGAAAAAGCCCCGGCUAACUUCGUG
rnacentral:rRNA from 1 species